AUUGAACGCUGGCGGCAGGCCUAACACAUGCAAGUCGAGCGGAUGAAGGGAGCUUGCUCCUGGAUUCAGCGGCGGACGGGUGAGUAAUGCCUAGGAAUCUGCCUGGUAGUGGGGGAUAACGUCCGGAAACGGGCGCUAAUACCGCAUACGUCCUGAGGGAGAAAGUGGGGGAUCUUCGGACCUCACGCUAUCAGAUGAGCCUAGGUCGGAUUAGCUAGUUGGUGGGGUAAAGGCCUACCAAGGCGACGAUCCGUAACUGGUCUGAGAGGAUGAUCAGUCACACUGGAACUGAGACACGGUCCAGACUCCUACGGGAGGCAGCAGUGGGGAAUAUUGGACAAUGGGCGAAAGCCUGAUCCAGCCAUGCCGAGUGUGUGAAGAAGGUCUUCGGAUUGUAAAGCACUUUAAGUUGGGAGGAGGGGCAGUAAGUUAAUACCUUGCUGUUUUGACGUUACCAACAGAAUAAGCACCGGCUAACUUCGUG
rnacentral:rRNA from 1 species